rnacentral:tRNA from 1 species
GGAGCUAUGGCUCAGUGAUUAAGAGCACUGGGCUGCUCUUCCAGAGGACCAGGGUUUGAAUCCUUGCACAUACA